UUUUUUUUUUUUUUUUUUUUUUUUAAAUAAGUUAACCAAUGCAACUGUGAAGGGUCAACCCAAUGGCAAAUUAUCAUUCAAAGGCUUCAUCUUCAAAUACCAUGGCUUUCAGGAUUAGCAUCUGUGUAUGUUGACUUGAGGAUUGCAAGCAUACAGCACAUAUCAGAUGUCUUGGUUUCUGCUUAGGUGCCCUGAUGAAGAAGCGUCUCCUGUUCAGUAAAUGAGACUUUUUUUGUGUGUAGGCAAAGCAAGCUUAUAGUGUCUCUAGAAGGGGUUUUGUUUGGCCACAUUGAGUUUGAGAUACCUGUAAAGCACCACACCCCCCCCUCCUACCCUCCACCCCCAUCUUCUGGCCUCACUGGGCACCAGAUAAACACAUGGAACACAGACAGACAGACAUGCAAGCAAAAAUAAAGAAAAAUCAUUUUUAAAAUAUGUAAAAUUUGCAUUUGCAAACCAUACCAGAGUAAAACUGGGAGAAAACCAGGGAAGAAAAGCAAGCGGUGGUGCUGUUUUCUGCUUUCUAUUGCUAAGCAGGGUGCUUUCAAAGACUCGGUGACUGGGAGCUUUACAGGAGGACCAGUCAGGGCUUCUCACACACCAGCUUUGAGUUGAGCAGACAUAUUCAACAGGGAGGGUAUCCUUUCUGUUUGAGGCAUCCAUGGUAAUUCUCUUUCUACCCCAAUUUUUAAUUUCUGAGAUAUGACCCCUUCCAGAAAGAACUGGGAUGGGAAAGUGGGUGGGAGGGGAGAGGAAAGCAGUCUGAAGGGGAUGGAUGCUACUUUGUCAUUGAGACAUGAACUGUGGUCUUCAUGAGGAAAGUGAUUGAUUAUAAAGGUGGCCUUAAAAUGCUACAGUAACCAAGCUUAUGCCCCUUUUUUGGGUGCCUGUUGGUGAAAGAGAAAAAAGCAAUGGGGUAGGAGAUGACGUGCCCCCAAACAGGGGCACUGCAGUGGGGUAGGAGAUGACCUGCCCCCAAACAGGGGCACUGCAGUGGGGUAGGAGAUGACCUGCCCCAAACAGGGGCACGGCAGCAUGAUGACCAGUAAGUGGGAGCGAUGGAUUGGAGCUCUUCCACAUCAGCCAGCCUUUGAACAGACACCUGAAAACGGGAUGCACCAGGCUUUUAUUUUUAGCACCAUCCUUAGUUAGGGCUUAGGAUGAGGUUUAAGACUCAGGUUACCUUGGCUAGUGAUCAUAUUUGCAUCCUUUAGCUUGAAGAAGGAAAACCACUAAAUCUGAAAACAGGAAUCUGAUGCAAAGGGGUGAAUGACAACAUGGCGAGGAAAAAGGGAGAGCACGACAUUUACACGGGGCUUUUGACGACGAAGAGUAAUGCAUUCCAGUCUCUUGUGACUAUGCAGAGAGGAAAGGUAUCAGGGAGGGCCCUUAACAAGAACCUCCUUGGGAUAUUUGAACCCUUACCUUUGUGACCUCAGCAGUCAUAUCCCCCUAACUGGGCAACAUUUUUAUAAAUCAAGCAGCUAAUUGUUCAUUUUUUAUUUGAUUAUCGAUUGGACAUUGCCCUAAAAAUAUCUACCAGAAAUCUGGCAGAGAUGUAGUGAUUUGGUUCCAUGUUUUUAUUUAUUUCGAAUGAAAGAAUUCUACUUGUCAUUGGCAACAACAACAAC
rnacentral:lncRNA from 1 species